rnacentral:rRNA from 1 species
CCCUUAGAUGUUCUGGGCCGCACGCGCGCUACACUGAUGCAUUCAACGAGCCUAUCCUUGACCGACAGGUCCGGGUAAUCUUUGAAUCUGCAUCGUGACGGGGAUAGAUUAUUGCAAUUAUUAAUCUUCAACGAGGAAUGCCUAGUAGGCGCAAGUCAUCAGCUUGCGUCGAUUACGUCCCUGCCCUUUGUACACACCGCCCGUCGCUCCUACCGAUUGGGUGUGCUGGUGUAAUGUUCGGAUCGGCCGUUUGUCGCGGUUUCCGCGUCAUGUGGCUGAGAAGUUCAUUAAACCCUCCCACCUAGAGGAAGGAGAAGUCGUAACA